rnacentral:snRNA from 1 species
GUGCUCGCUUCGGCAGCACAUAGACUAAAAUUGGAAUGACACAGAGGAGAUUAGCAUGGCCCCUGCUCAAGGAUGACACGCAAAUUCGUGAAGCGUUCCAUAUUUUU